rnacentral:rRNA from 1 species
ACGGAGGGUGCGAGCGUUAAUCGGAAUUACUGGGCGUAAAGCGCGCGUAGGCGGCUAUGUAAGUCGGAUGUGAAAGCCCCGGGCUCAACCUGGGAAUUGCGUUCGAUACUGCAUGACUAGAGUAUGGGAGAGGGAAGUGGAAUUUCCGGUGUAGCGGUGAAAUGCGUAGAUAUCGGAAGGAACACCAGUGGCGAAGGCGACUUCCUGGCCCAAUACUGACGCUAAGGUGCGAAAGCGUGGGUAGCAAACAGG